UCUGGGUCGGAUGGCUGUGCGCCGUGCUUCGUUCUCGGUCUGGUUCUUUCCGGGUCGGGUUUGUGAGUCGGUGUCGCGGUUGUUCGGUCUUUCUGGUGUCUGUGAAACAGAUGCCGACUUCUGUUGGCAUGCUCCCGUGUGCCCUUCAAUGGGUGUCGGGAGUGGACGGCAUGUUUACUUUGAACAAAUUUGAGUGCUCAAAGCAGGCCCAUGUGCCUGAAAAGUUUUGCAUGGAAUAAUGGAAUAGGACUUCGGUUCUAUUUUGUUGGUUUUCGGAUCCGAAGUAAUGG
rnacentral:rRNA from 1 species